CCGGCCUCCUUAGCUCAGUGGUAGAGCACUCGCCUUGUAAGCGAAAGGUCGUCAGUUCAAUCCUGACAGGGGGCU
rnacentral:tRNA from 1 species